GACUGUUUUCUUGUUGACUGUUUUCUUGUUGACUGUUUUCUUGCUGACUGUUUUCUUGUUGACUGUUUUGGUGUUGACUGUUUAUGGUUGACUGUUUUCUUGUUGACUGAUUAUAGUUGACGUUUUCUUGCUGACUGUUUUCUUGUUGACUGUUAUCUUGCUGACUGUUUUUUGUUGACUGUUUUGGUGUUGACUGUUUAUGGUUGACUGUUUUCUUGUUGACUGAUUAUAGUUGACGUUUUCUUGCUGACUGUUUUCUUGUUGACUGUUAUCUUGCUGACUGUUUUUUGUUGACUGUUUUUUGUUGACUGUUUUCUUGUUGACUGUUUUUUGUUGGCUGUUUAUGGUUGACGUUUUCUUGCUGACUGUUUUCUUGUUGACUGUUUAUGGUUGACUGUUUUUUGCUGACUGUUUUCUUGUUGACUGAUUAUGGUUGACGUUUUCUUGCUGACUGUUUUCUUGUUGACUGAUUAUGGUUAACUGUUUUCUUGCCGACUGUUUUACGUUGACUGUUUUGUUGUUGACCAUUUUCUUGUUAACCGGUUUGGUGUUGACUGUUUUCUUGUUGACUGUUUUCUUGUUGACUGAUUAUAGUUUACGUUUUCUUGCUGACUGUUUUCUUGCUGACUGUUUUCUUGACUGUUUUCUUGUUGACUGUUUUCUUGUUGACUGUUUUCUUGUUGACUGUUUAUGGUUGACUGUUUUCUUGUUGACUGUUUUCUUGUUGACUGAUUAUGGUUAACUGUUUUCUUGCCGACUGUUUUAUGUUGACUGUUUUGGUGUUGACCGUUUUCCUGUUGACCGGUUUGGUGUUGACUGUUUUCUUGCUGACUGUUUUCUUGCUGACUGUUUAUGUUUGAGUGUUUUCUUGCUUGUGUCGGCAGUCGUGGCCAAAGGAGGAUUCAGACAAUUUUCCGAACUUUCUGGUUGGUUUCUACUGUCCGAUAUUGUAGCACGCUAACUUUGUUUGGGCUCCUGAACGACACGGGGGAGCAGCGUCUGCCUCACAACCAAUCAG